AUGCGCAGCCGAAAUGCCCCAGGACGGGCACUGUCCCCUGUGCCUGUUCAGUGUGGUAAUGAUGUCCACUGGUUGUUAGAUGUCCACGUGGUCCCGAAUGUCACCUCUAUCCAGAUCCAAGCUCCUUCCGCUUGGCUAUGAUGCCAUCGCCCCUUGGAAUAAAUUUGAAAAUGAAUCAGAUAAUUGGGUUUGGGACAAUUUCCCCCGGAAAUGUCAUAGCAACUUCCUGGGCCCAUUCCCAAAGGAAUGGCUAGCAGGGUGUAUUCAUUUCCUAAGGCCGCCAUCAUAAAGCGUCGCAAGCUGGCUGGCUUAAAAACCCCAAAAGUGUGUUGUCUCACGCUUCCGGAGGCUCCGAGUCCAUGAUCAAGCUGCUGAUAGGGUUGGUUCCUUCCAAGAGCUGUGAGGGAGCAUCUGUCCCAGGCCUCUCCUAGGAAGCUGCCAGCAUUCCUUGGCUUGGAGGUGACCAUCUUCUCCCUGUGUUUCUUCACGUCAUCUUUCCUAGGUGUGCCUAUCUCUGUGUCCACACUCAUACUGAGUUAGGGUCCAUCCUAAUAACCUCAUUUUGGCUUGACUGUCUCAGUAAAGACCCCCUUUCUGAAACUGACAGCAUUCACAGCCUGAACCUAGCCAGAACACAGAUUGGGACUCAAACCCAGCCAAAACCCAGAUGGGGGCUUAAACCCACUGUGUUAAAUUAGAAUUACUCACCCUGUGUCUGGACUCACUGAGGUUCCGGUUCUUUAUGCCUCCGCGCGGGAAUUCAGCGAGAGACAAAGUGAUGGGCAAGAAACAAAUUUAUUAGGAUAGGACGCUUGUGAGAGAUGCAAGUGGGCCGGCAAGGAAGCGAGCAUCAGGUGGGCCACAGUUUUAUCAUCCAAGGGGAGUGGGGGUUGGAAAGGCCCGCCUCUUCCUCUCUGGGAUUAGUAGCUCCUCCUUAGCAUCCAGUAAGGUGUGUAUUCAAAUCAGCUGAAGGGCGGGUAGUCUUCAAACUAUUGCCCUAGGUCUGAAUCUGAAUGCAGCCCUCAGCCCAAACCCCACCCAAUGACCUGGGGCAAUUCUCGCACCUCCACUGGUCGAGCAGGCCUGCCUUGUUCUGAUGGCUUUCUUGAACUUACAGUGGUCUCCCAACAUCCCCCAGGUUUCUCUCUUUAUCUGUGGUCCCCUAGUGGGACUUCUACAGCCACCUGUGCCUACUCCAUCCCUAGCAUUUCCACCUGGGGUCAAGUUCUAGGGUAUAAAGAUUGGGACGCCCACCCACCUUUUCAGAGGACACAGUUCAACUCCCAACGGAGAGGCAGCCUCAAAAGGUGGCUUCCUCCUUCUCACUCUGGACCUCGGAAGGGUCUUUCCUUCCCUCUAGCCCAGCCCAGGCUUCCCUCCUGUGCAGCAGGUUAGGCAAACAGUAGUCAAUUGGCUGUCAGAAGAAGACCAAGGACUACACGCACUUGGUCUUGCUUCCUUUCAUCCACUUUCUCUUCAUUUCAUGCCAACGGGUGGCAUUCUGCCCAGGCUGUCACCAUGCCCUGCAUGCACCAGGAAAAACAAAAACACAACAGGCUCCUGAGCCAGGAGAGCCUGACAUGUUUUAGCCUGAGGUCUUGGGGAACGUUAGACUGAUGAUUUCCUGAGUGCUUGGGUUCUUAGAGGCUGGUGUUUCUUUAAGUUUCUGAUUCUCUAACUCUCUCCUCCCGCAAAGACUCCUCUGUGGAACAAAGAAAGUCUGCCAAGCUCUUCUUCAUAGAAUCAGACCCUUACCCCCCCAAGGUUGGCAGUGGAAGGGGAAGCUCCACACAGGAGGAGUGAUUAGAGAAUUACAACCCCAAUUCUUUGGGGGGGGGGGGCGGCACCUGGAGCGUAUGGAAGCUCCCGGACUAGGGGUCGAAUUGGAGCUGCAGCUGAACCCUAUACCACAGCCACAGCAAUGCCAGAUCCUUAACCCACUGAGUGAAACCAGGGAUCAAACCCGCCUCCUCAUGGAUGCUAGUGGGGUUCUUAACCCGCUGAGCCACAACAGGAACUCCUACGGCCUCAAUUCUUGUCCCCACAUUCACCUUUCCCUUGUAAGUUGCACUGGCCACCACUGCCAUGACCGUGUUAGGCUUAGGGAGGGCAGUUUCUCUUCUAGCACUCCUUUCCAAGUAUGGAUGCAAGCUUAAUUCUCCACCACUGAGCCAAUUCCAGGAAGCGGCAUUUAUUCAAAGUUGUCAGAAGGCCCAGAGAUUAGAGAGUUCAUAACAUUUUUCUCAAAAGGGCCUCUAGAGAUGGUUGUCUGAGAGCCCAGGCCCAUCUCCACACGUUCACUGUGGACCUAUCUCCCCACCCAGCACCCCUUCCACUGCAGAAUAACCGCCUCUUCGAAUCCAAAUAUAUACUCAGAGCUGAGGCCAGAGACAAGAACAAGCUCCCUUUCCAGCCAGCCUGAGACAGGCCUUCCCAAGGCCACUGCCUCCUCUGCUGAGACGGAUAGUGGUAGCACUUACUUCCUACAGGGAAGAUCCUGCCUCAGAGCCUUGGCUUGGGAAGACCACCUCAGAGCCUAAACAAACCUCC
rnacentral:lncRNA from 1 species